CUUGUGGCAGGUGUGGGAAAAGGCUGAUUUCCACAUUUCUCCCCAUGGCAGGUGGGCUGUACACUAGACCCUAAGGAGACAAAGUGGGGGUGACUCCAGGAAAGAAGUCCUGACGGUCAGUGACUUGGGAGGGAGCUGGGCCUUGAGGAAGAAAGUCCAGGAGUGUAUCCUCUUGGGAUAUGCCUCGGUGGGCCACAGAUGAAGUAAAGGAGGACUGGGGCACCAUUGGAACCAGAAGAUGACAAGACGAUUCCCCACCAGCUGCUCCCCCAAAGAAACCAGAGACACCAGCGUCUGCUUCGUGCUUCCAGAUCGAUCUUGCCUCCCUUCUCCCAGGGCAACCCAGUCAUGCCGCAGGAAACAAGCUGACAUUCACUGUUAGGCGUUGGUGAUUUGCUUUGUGGUGUCUCGGCUCCUCCAAAGACAGGAAAGGAGUCAGCAUUCCUCAAGCCAAAACUAAGAGGUAGGGGUCAUGGCCUGCCUUCUCCAGAGCUUCAGGGAAGGAAUGGCUGAUAGAAGGAAACUCCAAAGGCAGACAGGCACACUGAGGGCCUGAUUCUACACCCCAGAAAUGGACUGAAUGACUAGACAGCCCCCAUUUCCCUCAUGCAAACGGGUCCCAGACACAAGCACUUGAAGAAUUAACUUUGGAAACACAUUCUGAGCUUGUCAGGCCAAUAAUGUUAUUGAAACGGAUGGUGAAUAGAGAGAAAGAGAGGAAGGCCGAGAGUGUGACGGCUCCGUUUUCCACUGCGCUCAGCAGGGGGAAAUUCCUCCAACCCACCUGCGCGCCGCAGGGGCUUUUAUGCCCAGAACACGCGUGGCAGGGACCAAGGUGCUUGUUCUGCUGCUGAAUUGCCCUGACUUCUCCUGCUUUCUUUUGCUGACUCCUUCUCAGGCGGGGCAUGAAUGGCCUGUGCUCAUAACACACCAAAUCCUCUGAGCGUGAAGCGGCUGCUUAGAUCCUCAAGCCAAGUGGGGCAGGAAAUCUUCCAUGAGGAUUCACACCUCCUGUCCGAAGAGUGGCACCCACAGCCAUAUGCACGGUGCGUCCCAUUGGCGGGGCAGAGCUCAAGAGGGCAGCGCUGCAGGGGACGCUGGGCUGGAAGGCUGGGGCUGAGCAUGGCACAGACUUGGUGGGCGAGGCACUGGGCCAGCGGCUGCAGAUAGGAUGGCUCCACAGGGAGUGGCGGUGACCCCAGGGAUCUCCCCGGCAGCGUACUGGGCUCAGUGGAUGCCGAGCCUGGGAAUCACUCCACUUUGGGAGCGUGACUCCGUUUUGUUCCCUUGCUCCAGGCAGGAGUUUUGUUGGAGAAGAAACUUUGGGCUGGAGCCCGCAGUGGCACCAUACAUUGUGUGUACCAUGUGAAAAAUGUCCAGGGCCAAGGCAUGCAAACAGAGCCAGAUGUCUAGCACCGACCUUGUGCAACAAAAGGUCUAUCUGGUGUGUCUGUGCACGCGCGUGUGUGUAUGGGUGCCUUUUCUAGGUGUCCGCUUGGGUUUGUGUGUGCAAGUGUGAAGUCUUGCUUGUCUGCCCGUCUCUGUGUGCACAUGUCAAAUCACCGUGUGCAUGUCUUUGUGUCUCCCGUGGCUGGGUCCGUUUCUCGGUGAUGUGUGCAUGGCCGUCUGGGGGUUCGCAUGUUAGCGGGGGGGGGAGAGGAAUGUGCUCGGGCUCCUCUUUGUUACAAACAAUGUGGAUCCUUCUGAAGAGACAGACACCCCUCUCCACCAACCAAAGCCCGAGCCCUGGACCCUGGGACCAAUGAACGCUGCAGCGAAGGCCCCUCUGUGAAGGGGAGGGCAGGAGAAGCCUCCAGCAGGAGUUGCAUCAUUUUGGGGAGAACUGCAGUAAUCAGCGACGUCUGGUGGAAGGGGACGCAGCUGGGAUCUAUUCCCCCCUUCUUGUGCUGGGAGGGCCUAGUGGGGACUGCACUGCUCAGAGCAGGGUCUAAAUUCAGGGCCCGCACCCCUCCCCCACCUCCUGCGAGAUGCAGGGCAAUUAAGAAGCCUGGAGAAACGCUAAGACCGGGCAAUUUCAUGCUCCACCAGCUCCUCGCUGCUGCUUGUCAAAGAGAAUCUCUCCCCCUCCAGUCUGACAGCAUCUGGCAUUCAUUAUCCAAAUCAACCCCAGGCUGUCAGCAGGGGAUGGAGACCUCCGCAGCAUCUCGGCCUCUCCCAGCCCCUGCAAGCAGAGGGAGGGGGGCAUACCAGGGCCGAUCUCAGCUUUCUGAAGCAGUCGCUCAUGUACUGGGGGGGCAUGAGGAUGGUAUACAGCACCUACUCCUUCCAUUUGGGGUCAUUGUCCCACCUCAUCUGGCUCUGCUCCCGCUCUUUUUAGCUUUGGCGCACCCAAGUAUGAUCUCCAAGAGCUGCAGUCCUUCCCUUCCAGCCCCUAACAAGGAGAGCAUCGUUCGCAUGAUGACCAGAGUUGGGUUGCGUGACACCUGAGAGCUAAUCCUCUGAUGUGCUGAGCAUCCUCCAUGCCCAUUGCCGUCAAUAGCUCUCAUCACCUCCCAGGAGCAGGCCUUCAACAGGAGUCCUAUAGAGCGGGGGCGGGGUUUUGUUACAUGAGUCAGUGGGGGAUGGAAGAGCAAUAGAAAAAACCAUCUCAACACCCUGUCUCUGCCAUAGAUGCUCACGCUUAACCCAUCCCUAGUUGGAGUAGCUGGCCUGUGGCAUAGCCAGCUAGUCACAUGUGCAGCUGUGACACUCGGGCAGCCAGACAGCUGGGAAUCCCUGGAGUUUGGGUUCUCGCAGCUGGUGUUUGCGAGCCAGCAGUAGCUGAAUUACAGAGAGGAGAGGCAGGAAAUCACCCAUCAAUGUGGGGUUUUGUAAUCAUUUUAUGAUAUUCAAUGGUUGUCCUAAAGAACAAAAGAAAACCAGCUCCGUGGUCCCACGAGACUAACCACCUGCGAUAGG